CCUACGGGAGGCAGCAGUAGGGAAUCUUUCACAAUGGGCGAAAGCCUGAUGGAGCAACGCCGCGUGCAGGAUGAAGGCCUUCGGGUUGUAAACUGCUUUUAUAAGCGAGAAAUAUGGUGGUAACUUAUGAAUAAGGAUCGGCUAACUACGUGCCAGCAGCCGCGGUCAUACGUAGGAUCCGAGCAUUAUCCGGAGUGACUGGGUGUAAAGAGUUGCGUAGGUGGCAUAAUAAGUAGCUAGUGAAAUCUGGUGGCUCAACCAUUCAGACUAUUAGCGAAACUGUUAAGCUCGAGACCGUUAGGGGUAACUGGAAUUUCUAGUGUAGGAGUGAAAUCCGUAGAUAUUAGAAGGAACACCAAUAGCGUAGGCAGGUUGCUGGGACGGUUCUGACACUAAGGCACGAAAGCGUAGGGAGCAAACGGGAUUAGAUACCCUAGUAGUC
rnacentral:rRNA from 1 species